GUAUCGAGCAUCGAAGGGGCAAGGGAAAUUAUAUCAUCUCAAUUUCAAGACUACUGAUUAGAUGGAAUGGUUGGUAUACUGGGAGUGACACUGACCAUUGCCGUGUUUGUGCGUGCAUAUUAAUGUUUUCGAUUUUUGAAGUUUGGUCAUCGCUGAAAGAGAUUACAGUUAAAAAGAUUUUGGAGUUGAUCUGUGAUCUAAUUCGUGCUGGUUAUUCUGAAUAUUCAUGCAAGAACAUGUUUCCUAGAAAAGUUUUGGUUUGAUCUUCUGGCUAUGUUUUCGUAGAAGUGGUUUCUUAAUAUAUGUAAAAAGAUAAUCAUUCACUUCAUGAAAGAGUAAAACACAGUGAAAAUAUAAACACUAAGAGCAGAAGAGACCAAGACCACAAGCGUCAACACGGUAUGAAUCGCCAAUGAGGAGGUACCACAAGAGAGCAGCCCGAGACGGAGCUGAAUAACUUCAACCAUUGACAACAGAAGGAACACACAGCCCAAGAUGGACCACCACCGGCUGCACCAACCACACCGAGACGAAGAAGAUCACUGUUGAUAUUUGCUUUACUAACCUCGUCCGUUUCUUUGCUGUUCAACAAGUUGAUGGUUAGCUUCAGCCCUUGAGUCACGAGGGAGGAGAAGAGGAAGAAUGCAAAUGAGAUCACUUCGAACACAACGAGUAGACUCCGCAUGAUUUAUUUGAUCUCUGUUUUUUUUUAUUGUUGUUCAAUACCUGUAGUAACAUCAUAUCUGGGAUAUGCAUAUAUGAGUAAAUCCCUUAAUUAUCCUUCAAGAACCUCG